rnacentral:rRNA from 1 species
AUGUUUAGGAAAAUGUACCAAGGUGGUUCUUCAAGGAAGCAAGGACCCAGGCUUGCAAUGCGUGAUGCUGAUGAUGAGCCACCAAGGGACGCUCCAGUGCGGCCUUGUGAAUGGCCUUUAGAGGACUUCAUGGAUCGAGCAGGAAUUAAGGAAGAAUUUAGCGCAUAUUUGCGUAAAGCUGAUCUUGUGAGCUUCGAGGAGGAAAAGUGCCGCCAGUACCACUAUCUCACUAGUUCCUUUGUGAGGAGGUUUGAAUUUUCAUCUUCACGCAAUUCUCAAACUGUCCUGUUUGAUCUUUAUGAAAAUUCUUAUACUAUGGACUUAGAGGAUUUUACCACUGCUUGCAAACUUCCACAAUGGGGAGUGCUAGUGAACCUCGCAAAUCUGAAUUUAGAGAUUUUCUUGCUAGUAUAA